GAUGAAGAACGCAGCGAAAUGCGAUAAGUAAUGUGAAUUGCAGAAUUCAGUGAAUCAUCGAAUCUUUGAACGCACAUUGCGCCCCCUGGUAUUCCGGGGGGCAUGCCUGUCCGAGCGUCAUUACAACCCUCAAGCUCAGCUUGGUAUUGGGCCCCGCCGACCCGGCGGGCCCUAAAGUCAGUGGCGGUGCCGUCCGGCUCCGAGCGUAGUAAUUCUUCUCGCUCUGGAGGUCCGGUUGUGUGCUCGCCAGCAACCCCCAAUUUUUUUCAGGUUGACCUCGGAUCAGGUAGGGAUACCCGCUGAACUUAAGCAUAUCAAUAAGCGGAGGA
rnacentral:misc_RNA from 1 species